CACGUAGGGAGCAAGCGUUGUCCGGAUUUAUUGGGCGUAAAGAGCUCGUAGGCUGUUCGAUAAGUCGGGUGUGAAACCUCCAGGCUCAACCUGGAGACGCCACCCGAUACUGUCAUGACUAGAGUCCGGUAGGGGAGCGUGGAAUUCCUGGUGUAGCGGUGAAAUGCGCAGAUAUCAGGAGGAACACCAGCGGCGAAGGCGGCGCUCUGGGCCGGUACUGACGCUGAGGAGCGAAAGCGUGGGUAGCAAACGGG
rnacentral:rRNA from 1 species